UACGAAGGGGGCUAGCGUUGUUCGGAUUUACUGGGCGUAAAGCGCACGUAGGCGGAUCGUUAAGUCGGGGGUGAAAUCCUGGAGCUCAACUCCAGAACUGCCUUCGAUACUGGCGAUCUAGAGUCCGGAAGAGGUGAGUGGAACUCCUAGUGUAGGAGGUGGAAUUCGUAGAUAUUAGGAAGAACACCAGUGGCGAAGGCGGCUCACUGGUCCGGUACUGACGCUGAGGUGCGAAAGCGUGGGGAGCGAACGAGGA
rnacentral:rRNA from 1 species